GAUGAACGCUGGCGGCGUGCUUAACACAUGCAAGUCGAACGAUGAAGCCCAGCUUGCUGGGUGGAUUAGUGGCGAACGGGUGAGUAACACGUGAGUAACCUGCCCUUGACUCCGGGAUAAGCGCUGGAAACGGCGUCUAAUACCGGAUACGAGCUUCCACCGCAUGGUGAGUUGCUGGAAAGAAUUUCGGUCAAGGAUGGACUCGCGGCCUAUCAGGUAGUUGGUGAGGUAACGGCUCACCAAGCCGACGACGGGUAGCCGGCCUGAGAGGGUGACCGGCCACACUGGGACUGAGACACGGCCCAGACUCCUACGGGAGGCAGCAGUGGGGAAUAUUGCACAAUGGGCGCAAGCCUGAUGCAGCAACGCCGCGUGAGGGACGAAGGCCUUCGGGUCGUAAACCUCUUUUAGCAGGGAAGAAGCGAAAGUGACGGUACCUGCAGAAAAAGCACCGGCUAACUACGUG
rnacentral:rRNA from 1 species